rnacentral:lncRNA from 10 species
CACAAAUACAUGUUCUGGUAGGUGCUCAGUGGGAGAUACAGGACCUUCUUGGGCAUCAAGAGAUUUAAUCUUUGAUCUGUUCAAAGUUUGACCCGUCUGGGCCUCUGUUUCCUCAUUUAUAAUAAUGAAGAAAACUGGAUGAUUUCUGAGGCCCCAUUCUACGUUUCUACAAUGGCUUGUGUUAUUUUAAAGGCACAGAGUGAAGAAAUUACGAGUCAUACAGCUGAAGUAUGCACAGAAAAGAUUUCAACCUCAAAUAAAAUCUGGAACUGAAGUUUCACUCCCCUCAUGGAACAAAUGUAUCAAGACUUGGUCAGAACUGAAGGCCAGAACACUUUCAAAAGUGAAGGGGUACAAGCUCAGGAAUGUUAGGUGUUAAGAUCCCUUACCAUACUUUACCAUAUAUGGUCUUGUUUAAAGUUCUUCCAAUCAAGACCUACCCACCAGCACUUCUGCAUACCAGCCUGCUCUCUCUAACCCAGAAAACUUGCCCCAGACUCCAGAAUGGGGAGAUGGAAUUGAGCUUUGUCUCCUGCCUCCUCGCCGCCAACCCCACAAUAAAACCUUUUUUUUUCUUAAAAAC